rnacentral:lncRNA from 1 species
GCCCAGGCCCAGGAAGUUGAGUCCCUGGCGGGGAGGACGGGCAGGUGCGUCCGCGCUGCCGAGCACGAAGUCGCUGGAGGUGCACACCUCGACGACACGCUCACAGAUGGGAGUUCAGACACACACUUCCUGGCUUGCGUGCGAAGCAGGAUCGCAGGGCAAUAAUCCCUCCAUCUUCCCCGGGAGGUUCUGUGCCUGCAAGAUACACGGCACCCACUCGAUGCCACCGGGCCGCCACUGUCUGGGCCUGGGAUCUUGACCCACUUGCCUUCUGUACUUCAGGGUUUAGAGGCAGCAGCAGCAGCAGCAGCCGUCUUGGAUAACUUUUGAUGGAUUCAGGAGGCCUGGAGACCUCUUGUGUGCAGGCACCUGGACAUAAUUUUCAUUCAGUCCUGCCCAAUGUUCCGACCUGGACUGCGGUGCCGACGAGGAAACCGAGGCUUAGCGGGAUCCCUAAUCCAAGGCCACGACGAGUGAGCCUGCUGGGUUCAAGCCAGGAGCCUGUCCCCAGGGGGCAUUUGUCACAGCCUUACCCUCUUCCGGGAGGCGCAACGCUUACCCUCGUGGACCAACAAUCGAAUUAACAUGCUGAUACACACAUGGGGUGAGUGACGCCCUCAAAUGCUUGCAAACACAGACACACACUCGGAAUUUCAGAAGCUGCUUCUGCUGUGUGUCCUGUCGCUUGGAAGGCACAGCCCCAGCAGCACCCAUACAAAAUGAGGUCUCCGAUUUAAGGUGGCAGCUGCCCUUUCAGGAGCCAGUGGGGGAACCUGGGUGGCUGGGUGGGGACACCUGCAAGUCCUCCCUAAGCCAGCUACCACCCUACACUGUUGGCCUCCCUUCUCCAACUGUGGGGAUG